rnacentral:lncRNA from 1 species
GCGGCGCUGGGGAGGCACGUUUGGGGGUGGGUAUAUUUCCUUUUUUUUUUUUUUUUUUUUAAACCCCUGUUUUUCUGUUUAAACGGCCAGCUCCCUGCAAGGAAAAAAAUCUUCUGUGGAGAUCAGAGCGCUGGCCUCGGACCGUUGGAUUGGGCGAGCAUCUUGGGUAAAGAGAACAGAGCUUUAUGGCUCUGGGCCGGCCUGAGGGGGUUAGGGGCGAGGGGAAAGCGGUUGACGGCGCUGCCUUCAGUUAAAUCUCGGAGAGUGUGCCAGGCUGGCGCAUCGCAAUCCAGUCUCGGAAUCUCGUUCUCCUGCCUCUGUGCGGGUCUGCUGUCGCCUUGCUAUUCCUGUUUCCCGGUCCCCGCCGAAUAAGUUGUGAUCACUGCAGAAAAGGUGUCCCAUUGCUCGGGGCCGCAGGCGUCAGAGAGCCCAGGGCAAGUUUCAGGGGCUACCGGGGUCCCUGGCUACCCCGCGGGGCUCUGAAGCCCAAUGUCUCAGAUGCAUCUCGGUUUUCUGAGCUCGCUCAUCUUCCCUUGGUCAAGACUCCUUCAGAUCUUCAGACUUUCUUACUGCAUUAAUUUAACAAACUGGAGGCGUGGGGGAUGGGAGGGGUGAUAGCCGAUGGGAGGGGGUUGAGGGGGAAAAAAAAAGGGGGAAAACUCCUUAGUAUCUUCAAACCCUCCCACUCGAGGUGUUCAUUGGCCCGCGGCUACGAAAACCAGAUCUUCUCCCGGUAUUCGGCCAAUAGCCUGUUAGACUCCGGGUUGAAUUUAACGCUUAGAGUGCUGGACGAGAUCUGCGCAAUCCCCUUCCUACCCCCAAGCUUCUUUCCGUGUAAGCGGUGGGGUGAGAGAGGAUAUGGAAUUAAUCUCUCUAGGUCUCUCAAAAGGUUGCCUUGAUUUUUAAAGAAUGCAGUUGUAUGUGAGUAAAACACAUGGUUCCUUGUUAAGACGUGCUCUGGGCUCAAUUUAUCCUUUUAAAAGGGAAGAGUUGAACCAGAUCCCUGAUUUUUUUUAAAAGAGCUCUGAAGUUAUAAUAUUUGGCCCUAGAAAGAAAGGAGGAAUAUCCAAAAAGAAGUCUGGUGGAUAAAGACCCCCUCCAGGGUCACCGCAGCAGGGAAAUACGAGAGAAAUUCUUUGAGCAGUUUCCAGCGUUGAGUGGGAGGUGUUGUGGCUGGCACCCUUUUGAGAGGGAAUAAAAGCACCUUCUUCCAACUGGACAGGAGACAGUUUUAUUCGCCUUUUAUAUGCUGGGGAAACUGAGCCUCACAGAGCUGUGGCUUGCUCCAAAUUGAUGGCAGAGCCAAGUUGUACACACAGGGAUGUGUUAUGACUCACAUUUCGUUAUUUCUUCCUCUGUUUUCCCACCUUAUUUGAAUCUUAGAAACCAGCUAUACAUUUCACUGUAAAGCCCAUCUGGUGAGAUGGAGUUAAUCAGAUUUUCCCCAAGCUGUGGGACUAUAGGAUAAAUACUUUAAAGGAUUUUCUGGCUGAUUUGAACUCAUUGGGACUCUGGGGACUCUCUCGCCCAAGGCUACUGAGAGAGGACAACCCCUCCUCCUUACCCAAUAACGUUAGAAACUCCUUUGGCUGAUCUCCCAAGAAUACUCAUCAGCUCAGCUCCCUCCAAGGCUAGGCCUUCUCCCAAGCAGAAAGGAUCUGAAAAGUCUUGUUUACUAGCCUCUUACCAGUAGGAUUUCCCCUCCCCUCCCCCUGUACUACAAUAGCAUACCCCACACUACCG